rnacentral:rRNA from 1 species
GACGAACGCUGGCGGCGUGCUUAACACAUGCAAGUCGAACGGAAAGGCCCUGCUUUUGUGGGGUGCUCGAGUGGCGAACGGGUGAGUAACACGUGAGUAACCUGCCCUUGACUUUGGGAUAACUUCAGGAAACUGGGGCUAAUACCGGAUAGGAGCUCCUGCUGCAUGGUGGGGGUUGGAAAGUUUCGGCGGGUGGGGAUGGACUCGCGGCUUAUCAGCUUGUUGGUGGGGUAGUGGCUUACCAAGGCUUUGACGGGUAGCCGGCCUGAGAGGGUGACCGGCCACAUUGGGACUGAGAUACGGCCCAGCCUCCUCCGGGCGGCGGCCGUGGGGCCUCUUGCCCGCUGGGCGGCCGCCUGAUGCAGCAACGCCGCGUGCGGGAUGACGGCCUUCGGGUUGUAAACCGCUUUCGCCUGUGCCGCCGCGUGGGUGCCGGUACUGGGUCAAGCCGCCCCGGCUCCCUCCGUG